rnacentral:lncRNA from 1 species
CCUCAAGAGGCAGCUGUCAACAUCUGCACUGACAGUUGAGGCCAGCUUUGAGAGUGUGGGAUCUUGGCCCCCUAUGACUCAGCUCUUUCAGGA